GAAAAGGGGCGGUCGGGUGAGUUUGCGUUGGCGCGCGGCUCGCCAGUUCUUCGCGAGCCACGAGCCGUGUCGCACCGCGCCAGGUGCGAAUGCGCUCAGCUCGUUCAUUCGUCUCUCGAUCGUCUAUCCCCCUGCAUUUCUCGCGUCUAUCACACCUGACUUGACUCUGGUGUUCUGGCCGAAAAGACUGCGGUCUCUCGUGUACGCGCGUUCCUUCGUGAAUUAAUGUUAACCUUGUGUUGCUCCGAAAAAAAAUACAUAUAAAUCGCGAGAAUGUUGCUCCUGACGCAUUCACUUGAUCGAUGUUGAAAUGAAUAAGGUGAACGUCAACGAUUUUCAUUCAUGAUUGUUCGAAAGUGGUAGCGCGCGAGAUAACACAACAGUGUGUAAUAAUUAAGGCGAGUAUCUUGCUAAGAUGAUCGCGAAAGUCUCAUAGAAGUGCAUACGCGCCUGUGUUUUCUCUUUGACGCAUUGGUCCGACUGCUUAAAAAAUCAAUCGCGACGAUCUCUGCGGAUAUCACUUGUGAUGCUUUGAAAGUAGUUUAGUUCUCCGUUGGAGAAUUAAAAAAGUGUAAAAAUCAAGUCUCUACAAUAUAUGAUUCGGAAAAUUGCUGACUCGCUACGAACUUCGUUUGUGAAAGUGAACCGAAAUCGAAUUCCGAGUUUUAACUGCUGCUAAAUUCGAAAGGAACGAGACAAUAGGCUGCAAACACAGCGGAAGUGCAACGUGUCGGCUGCCAGGGUAUAGCCAAAGUGCAUCAGCCGGCUGUUAAAUCAUUCGAAUUGUUGCGAACCGCCGCGCGAAAAAAUCAUCGCAUGCCAAAUUUGAAGAUUUCUUGCACGAGUUCCACGUAAUUGACGCAAGGAGCAUGGAUUUCGAAUUAACAUUUCAGAUAAGGAGUGGUGGAGAUGGAUAGGAGCUCGCUCUUUCUCCCUUGACAACUUUCAAGUCGGAAGCAC